GUGUAUGAUGUGGUUCUAUAGUUUUCAUUUCUCUCAUUCUGUGGUAAUUGUUCCAACGUCUUAUGUUCAUAUUGUAAAAUAAUAUCUGGACUAGGCUUGUUCAAAUUCUCUUGUUUGUGGUCUUGAUAUUCAUUGCAAUAUUCCCUAUUAUUCUUCACUGUACCUGUUACUAACUGCGCUGCGUGAUUGUUUAUGUUUGUUUGGGGAUGGAAUUCGAAUUUGAUUAUUUGAAUAUAUAGUAUAUACAUUUCAAAUUAGUUUAUUGUGGUUUGAGAUUAUUUUACAUUGUUAUACUUUGUCUCUAAAUAAUUCUAGGAUUUCAAAUCAUGAUCAUAAAGAGACAAUCAACAAGGGAUGUACGUGGGUACCUCCAAAUUGUGCUGAAUAGGUUUCCUGAUAAUCGUGAAAUAUAUGAUAAAAUUACCAAGCUCUUGAAGGACUUGAGACUUGCAAGGUAUUUGCUAUGUGUUAAACAUUAAUUUUCCUCUUUUAUUUGUUCAAUUUCUGUCCGAAUAAUAGUCUUAUGACUUAUGAGAAGUUGAAAAUUUUAAUUGUGUUUUAAUUGCAGACUUCGUUCUACUUACAAUGAUGUCAUAUCAAAGGUGAGUCAACUCUUUAAGGAACACAAAGACCUGCUUUUGGGUUUCAAUAAGUUCUUGCCGCCGGGCUAUAAGAUAACACUCCCGAAGGAUCAAACUCAACGAAGGAAGCCUGAGUUUCGGGAUGCUGCUGAAUUUAUCAACAAGGUCAAGGUACGAACACUCGCCCAUGGUAGUAAAUUGGGAUAUAAAAUUUGACUAACGACUUGACUUUCAGUUUACUUUGUGCUAUAAAUAUUGAAAUCUUAAAAGAAAUAUAACACAGUUUGUAUUCUAGCCCUAGUAAUAAAUUAUAUUCAUCUUUUCUGUUUUACCAUCUCCCGUUAAAUAUAUCGGUUAUUCGCAGGAAAGGUUGCAAGACGAGCAUGCAUACAAAUCCUUGUUAGAGAUAUUUCGAAUGUUCAGAGAAAAUAAGAAGAGUCUUACUGAGGUCCAUCAUGAGGUAUAUAUAUAUAUAUAUGUGUGUGUGCGCGCGUGUGUUUCAGCACUAUCAUAAAAAAAACUAUUAAUACAUGUAUAAUAUUAAUACUUGUUUCUUCUUUAGUGUUCAUGUAUUGGGUUUGAUGAUUUUACCUUUAUUUUGUUAAGGAAAUGAUUACCUAUUUGCAGGUGUUGUAUGUCCUCCGAGACCACCAGGAUUUGCGUGUGGAUUUUGCAGCUUUUCUCCCUGCUCGCUAUAGAGAAGAUUGAGAUUGCAGUUGAAUAAUAUGUUGUUGUUGAUGACAAAACUUAUCAUUCAUUUCAGUUAUUUUUCAUACAAAACAGACACUCAUUUCAGCUACUUUUCGUCGUUUGAGUUUCAUAUUAUGGACAAUAUAUAUGGAUGAACACUUACAAGUGCUAUUAUUUCUACUUUAACUGUAAAUUAUAUGGAUAUACAUGUAUAGUAACUUUUUGUAUAUUGAUCUUCUUCUUUGGUUCCUUCAUCCGUAUAAUGUUGUUUACAACUUUACGUUGGUUUGUAUUAGAGGACAUACAUUGGUGUCUUUUUUGUUCAAGUUGAGUUAUCAUGAGAAAAGAGGUCUUAUAGCAGAGAACAAGAUACGUUCCAACAGAAUGCUCAUGUUGUUUGAUUAGACUGGUGAAGGUGAUGGAUCAAAACAACAAAGGUGUAUGCAGAUAACCGCAGAGAACGUGCCAAAGCUCUGGCGUGAGUUUUUGGACACAUCAGUCACCGAGGUUUGAAGACACUACAAAGAAAGAGUAUGGUACGUGGCCUUCCAAACUUUGACACUCAGAACUUCACUUGCUCAGACUGUCUGAUUGGGAAACAACCGAGAAACCCCAUUCCAAAGAAGAGUUCAUGGAGAGCAAAAGAAGUGCUUGAACUCAUACACUCUGACAUCUGUGGGCCUAUCAAUCCAAUCUCAACGAGUGGUAUAAAGUAUAUCUUGUGCUUCAUUGAUGAUUGUAGCAGGAAAGCGUGGGUGUAUCUCUUGAAAGAGAAGUCUGAAGCUUUCAACCACUUCAAGAUUUUCAAGAAGAAGGUGGAAACUGAGGCUGGCAAAAACAUCAAAUGCUUGAGAACUGAUAGAGGUGGAGAGUACACAUCAACUGACUUCUCUGACUACUGUAAGGAGAAUGGCAUUAGAAGACAGCUCACCACAGCCUACACACCUCAACAGAAUGGCAUUGUAGAAAGAAAGAAUCGCACUGUCAUGAACAUGGUCAGAUCACUCCUCUCAACUCGGAAAGUACCAAGAAUCUUCUGGCCAGAAGCAGUGAAGUGGACGUUUUACGUUCUGAACCGAUGCCCUACACAUGCAGUCAAAAACAUUACUCCACAAGAAGCUUGGAGUGGAGUGAAACCGAAUGUGGAGCACUUCAGAGUAUGGGAAAUUGCACAUGCUCACAUUUCAGAUCAAAAACGGGGAAAGCUCGAUGAUAAGAGCGUUGCUUGCUUCCUGAUCAGAAGAGUCUAAGGCGUAUAGACUCUACAAUCCAGUAACCAAGAAGGUAAUAAUCAGUAGAGAUGUGGUGUUUGAAGAAACAAAAGGUUGGGAUUGGGAUGAAGAUCAAAACACAUCAGAAGGAAGCCGAGUUAACCUGAAGUGAUGAUGGCAUUCUUGAGGAAAUUGAAGAAGAAGACAGUGAUGGGGAAAACUCUGAUGGUGAAACAGAACAGCCUGCAGCGGAAGAAGAAGAAGAACAAACCGAUCAGAAUGUGGGAGCUAGGGAGGGAAGAACCAGAAGACUCCCAUGAUAUCUGAAUGACUAUGUCACCCUAGCAGAAGCUGAGACCGAAGAAGAUCAAGUAAACAUGGUGGAGAUCAACACAACUGAUCCAGCAGCCUUUGAAGAUGCAGAGAAAGAACAAAAGUGGAGGGAAGCGAUGGAGGAGGAAAUAAAAUCAAUCCAAAAGAACCAAACAUGGGAGUUAUGUCUUCUUCCUGAUGGAGCAAAGUGUAUUGGAGUUAAGUGGAUCUACAAAACCAAGCUAAAUGAACACGGGGAGAUCAACAAACACAAGGCACGAUUGGUCGCAAAGGGAUACUCGCAGGAGCAUGACAUUGAAUACACAGAAGUCUAUGCACCGGUGGCUCGUAUGGACACAAUCAGAGCUAUACUUGCCACUGCAGCACAAAUGAGCUGGGAGAUACAUCAACUUGAUGUUAAGUCUGCCUUUCUCCAUGGUGUCCUUACAGAAGAUGUCUACAUUCAACAACCAAAGGGAUAUGAGGUAGAAGGAGAAGAGGAUCAAGUCUACAAACUCCACAAGGCCCUGUACGGUCUGAAACAAGCUCCCAGAGCCUGGUUUAGUAGAAUUAAAGAAUACUUCACCAAUGAAGGGUUCAUGAAGUCGCAGAAUGAGGAAACUCUGUUUCAAAAGUUCAAUGAUCAAGGUAAUACCCUGAUUGUGAGUGUGUAUGUUGACGAUUUGAUAUACAUAGGAGAUGAUAUUUCAAUGAUGAAAGAGUUCAAGGAGUCGAUGCAAAGGGAGUUUGACAUGACGGAUCUUGGAAAGAUGAGGUACUUUCUUGGGCUUGAAGUGUUGCAGACGCCACACGGAAUUCAUGUGUCUCAAGAAAAGUAUGCAAUGGAGGUCUUAAAGCAUUUUGAUAUGGAGAACUGCAACUCGGUGUGCAACCCAAUGGUGCCUGGAAACAAACUAGACAUGGAUGAGGGAGGGAAUCGAGUGGAUGAAACCUUCUACAAGAAGAUCAUAGGGAGUCUGAUGUACAUCACCACAACACGGCCAGACCUGCAGUUUUCAGUAAGUCUCUUAAGCCGUUACAUGUCAAAUCCCACAGAUCUUCACUUGCAAGCAGCAAAGAGGGUACUAAGGUACCUAAAGGGAACUAUGGAUUUUGGCAUCUGGUAUAAGAGAGGAGGGAAAGGAGAGCUACUGGUCUACACUGAUAGUGAUUUUGCAGGAGAUAUUGAUAGCAGGAAGAGCACGUCUGGAUAUGUGUUCGUGAUGGAUGGAGCUGCAGUAGCUUGGUCUUUGAAGAAGCAACCUAUAGUCACACAAUCCUCUUGCUGCCUUUGUAUGCGCCUGUCAAGCUAUCUGGUUCAAGAGAAUCUUGGAAGAACAAGGACACAACAUGAAGAAGAGUACAGUCAUUCUUUGUGACAACACCUCAACAAUCAAGCUUUCAAAGAAUCCGGUCUUUCAUGGAAGAUGCAAGCACAUAGGAGUCUGUUUUCACUUUCUCAGGAAUCUGGUAACCGAUGGAGAGAUACACUUGGAGCACUGUGGCACGCAUGAACAACUUGCUGAUGUUUUCACAAAACCACUAAGUCGAGAAGCGUUUGAGAGGAUAAGGAGUCCACUUGAGAUUUGUUCUGCUAAGGUUAAGCUAAGUCUUGUUCCAGAAGCUUAGUUUAGAGAGGGUUUGUUAGAGCAAAUCAAAGGAGCCGUUGGAAGUUUAAGUUUCAGUUUGUAAGUUUGAAUUAGUCAUUUCUGUUUGCUUAUUAGUAGCGAUCAUGGUUAGUGAUAUCCAUGUAUCUAGGACCAAGUUUAUUAGUUGGCUUAGUGCCGCUAUUGUAGGAACUCGUUGCUCUUUGUAAGGCUAUUUAUAGUCAUCUCUUUUAUUCAAUGAAAGUAGUGCAUUAUUCAGAUAUUUACAGAGCUUUUGAUCAAACAAAAAUGUCAGUACGUGAUAGAGCUGUUAAAUCACUUCCCACCAUGCGGGACCGGAUCAUUGCUUCACAUACAGACUCUGUGACCUCAAAAUGGAGCGUAUGGACCUAGACAAUGAGAGAUCUUUGUUGAAAGGAAGUAAAGAAGAGGCUAGACGCAUUGACACAAUGAAUGAUCACAUGGAUGGAUGACAGCAACAGGAAAGGUUAUGGAAUUGAUAGCCAGUAAGAGCAGUUUCUCCACAGUAAAAAAGAAACUGACACUAAGGGAUGAUGAUUCUCCUGAAAUCACAAAUCAGGCUAGGGAAGGAGUGAGUUUCUUGAUUUCAUUUCAAGCAGCCUUGUCUGCCAUUAGUUAUGGCCUGAAAUUAACUUUUGUGAUGACAGGCCAUGUCCAAAAACUUGCUUUUGUUGAUCGAGUGAAGAUGAAACUUAACACCUCGGAAAACCAAGUGUUCUUGCGAUGGCUUAAUCUAUUUUCAAAGAAAAUAAUCAGCCAACCUGAAUUGCAUUCUUUGGUAUGUUUAUCUGCCUAACCUUAUAUGGACAUAUAUUAUUGUUUCAGGUGGAGAAUUUAAUCGGACCUUAUGGAUAAUUUUAUUCAGAACUUGUGUUUCUCGUAUUACAUUCCUAUGUCAAAAGGUAUAUGAUUUGACCAUCUUUUAUUUUUCUUUCUGGAGAAGGAUUACUCUCUGGCAUCGUUACUAAGAGUGAGUAUAGCUUUUUAUGAUUGAUUGAGUGGAGUGGAAUCAAAUUUAGCUCUAACUACUGGACUGUUGUGAUUACAGAAUCCUUGUGGAAUAACUCAUAGAAAUCAGGUGUGAAGUAACUUAUUUAUAUUAUUUAUAUUAUUCAAUAUUAUUUUUCCUUUUUUCUUUAUUUUUCAUUAGAAUGUUUUCAAAAUCAAAUAAAUAUCAAUUUAUCUGUAAACUAAUACAUUCUUAAACAAUUUUCAUAAUUAUACAUCUAAAUUAUUAAUUAAUGUUUUGUUUCUUGGCUUUUCCCUUAAUAUAUGAGAUAAUUAGAGAUUUUUGAAAGACUCUUCAAAAAAAUUAACCAUUUAUCAUGAUUUUUGUGUCCGACUGAGACAGUUUUUUUUUUUGAAACACACCUACUUUCAUUAAACACUCAAUCUUCUUCCAUACAACAAAAAAGAGAGAAUCAUCCAUCCUCUUUGUCCAUAAACAUAAAAUGCAACAAAUAAAUAAGCUAAACGAGAUAAGUCUUCAACCGAAGAUGACAGCGAAUUCGAGACGAUGCUUGAAUGCGUCGGGGAAACUUUCACGACAAAGUCGUACAGCUUAGAGAUAGUCACAAGUGACGUUGAGAGACAGUUUUCACCAAUAAGAAAAACCGAAGUAGUCUUGAUUGCACCUUCAGACCCCGCACAGACCGCUCCACAAGGUAACAAACCGGUGAGUAAACUGAAACUAAAGCUCAAAAAAGAAUCCGAGAAAUUUGCUCUAUUCAUAGAAAGGAGAUAUGGUAGUGAAAUACUCUCCGCAACAGAGGAGGAGAUGGAAGUUGUGCGCAGACAACAUGACUUUACUAGUUUUUGAUGGCUCAAAGCUGGACGCCGGAGUGAAUUUCCACCUACAUCGGACACCAGAUUCACAAACAAAUGGUUCAGAGCUAGACGCCGGAGUGGAUUCCCACCUACAUCGGACAUCAGAUUCACAAACAGAUGAAAACAUGGUUGUAAAGUUGUCAAGGACGGUAUAAGUUUGCCAAACAAACACGGAUCUGGUCAGAGGAUGCUACGGAUCUGGCGCUGGAACUGGAGGGAAGCAAGGGAGAGCACAAGUGAUGAACAUGAUGCUCCAUGACAGAUUGAAGAGCUUGGACAAAGCCUUCCGUGUGACUUGUCCGUCGGCGGUAACACAUGGGAUCAACGGAGAUUACCCCCCAUAAACAAAGCACAUCAGCGGUGGGAGAGUCCUCCAGACUCAUUGCUGGUGAACAGAACAAAUGAGAGGGAAGAGACACCAAGAGGACGAGAACGGAGAACCAGAUCGAUGGUCCUCGUCGCGUGCUUCAUCGGGAUCUCCUUCCUUCACAGAACAUGAAGAGAAACAAAGCAGAGCAAAAACAAAGGACAAGCAGUAGCGUGAAGACCAGAGAGCAGAGAAGAGAUGGUGGCCAGCGCCGGCGAUAAAGAGCCUCACCGACGCCGGAGAUCGUGAAUCGCAAGGUCUCCUCGAUGUUCGUGUCUGAGAGAGCGGCUAGGGCGAACCUCAAGUACUGAGACAGUUGUUUAUAUAUAAGAAUUGUACAUUUUUAAUUGAGAAAGAGAAGUUUAAAUAUUGGGCUUAUUACGUAGUAGUCAUAAUUUGAAUAUAAAUUAGGCAAGUGACAAUGAUUUUGACAUAAUGUAAUGUCAGACAUUUAGACCAAAAACCAUCCGGUUUUGUCACUUUCCUUAACAUGUUUCCGGUUGUCAAUGAGAGAGUAGAUGACGUUGUUGGUUUUUUCCUACGGUGAAUAAUGAACCACUAGUAUUUACAAUUACAUAUCGGUACAAAGCUCAUGUCACAGAUUUAUUUACUCCCUACAUAUUCAUUAUAUGCAGUAAAAUAAGUGGACAAAAAUAGAAGACGGUUUAAAUUAUAAAAGUUUAGUUCAAUUACUACACAUAGCAAGUCUAAGAAUAUUAUUAAAAUUAAAAUAUAAUAUUAUAAAACUAAUUUUAUAUAUAAAUAUUGAUCUAUCAAAUAUAAUUAUUAAUAAAAUUAAUUUUUUUUUUUUUUAAAACACGGAUUUGAAUCCGGAUAUCUGAUCUAAAAAUUAAGAUAUCCGGAUCCGGUUUUGACGGAUCCAAGAUUUUACUAUACGAAUUCGGAUCCGAACACUCCGGAUAUCCUAUCUUCGGAGCGGAUUCUGGAUCGGAUCCGAAUCAUGGAUAAUAAGUCUCAGGCCUAGUAUAUAUAUGAGGAUUGUACUUUUUUAACAGAGAAAGAGAGGUUUAAUCUUUUGUUCAAAAAAAAAGAGAGGUUUAAUCUUUCAAAAAAAAAAAAAGAGAGGUGUAAAUCGUUAACUAAGAAAGAGAAUUAUGAUAUCCACCUAUAUAGUAUUAAAAGAUAUAGAAGAGAUCAAUUUAAAUUUUGAAGCUUUUAUAAAUAUAAUUGUUGGCUGUAUAUGUUAUGAUAUAUUUUCUAAUAUUUUCUGUGAAUGAAUUGUUUUAGUCAAAUAAAAGGAAGGAAAUAAAAGAUAUAUUUUCAUUAUUACCUUAGAAAUAUGAUUUUUUUUGUCUAUUCCACAUUUGUAUAUAAAUGCAACGUAAUAUAAUUUUAAACCAUAAAAUAUUCUUGUCUACUUUUGUGGGAAUUGUUCAAAACCUGUCUGCGUGCUGUGUGAGGUAAGGAGAAACCCUUUCCUCUGGAUGAUGAUUUAGGUCUCGCUUAAGAUUUGAUAGGUGUAUGAUGUGGUUCUAUAGUUUUCAUUUCUCUCAUUCUGUGGUAAUUGUUCUAACGUUUUAUGUUUAUAUUGUAAAAUAAUAUCUGGACUAGUCUAGGUUCAAAUUCUUUAGUUUGUGGUCUUGAUAUUCAUUGCAAUAUUUCCUAUGAUUGUUCACCGUACCUGUUACUAACUGUGCUGCGUGAUUGUUUAUAUUUGUAUUUUGGGAUGGAAUUCGAAUUGGAGUAUUUGAAUAUAUAGUAUAUACGUUUCAAAUUAGUUUAUUGUAGUUUGGGAUUAUUUUACAUUGCUAUACUUUGUCUCUAAAUAAUUCUAGGCAAUUUCAAAUCAUGAUCAUAAAGAGACAAUCUGCAAGGGAUGUACUUGAGUACCUCCAAAUUGUGCUGAAUAGGUUUCCUGAUAAUCGUGAAAUAUAUGAUAAAAUUACCAAGCUCUUGA
rnacentral:lncRNA from 1 species